UACGUAGGGGGCAAGCGUUGUCCGGAUUUAUUGGGCGUAAAGGAGCUACGUAGGUGGUUCGGUAAGUCGGAUGUGAAUACUCCGAGGCUACCAACCUGGAGGGGUCAUUCGAUACUGCCGUGACUAGAGUUCGGUAGGGGAGUGUGGAAUUCCUGGUGGAGCGGUGAAAUGCGCAGAUAUCAGGAGGAACACCCGUAGCGAAGGCGGCACUCUGGGCCGAUACUGACAUUGAGGAGCGAAAGCGUGGGGAGCGAACAGG
rnacentral:rRNA from 1 species